UGUGACUGGUUGACCAGAGGGGCGUGCACUGUGUUCACCCUGUGGGCCACCUAGUCACCAA
rnacentral:pre_miRNA from 1 species